UGCUGUGUGAUAGCUGGGAUUUUAUUUUAUUUUAUUUUAUUCUAACUGAAUAUUGAGAUUUAAUCAACUAUAUUAAUCAACAAAAAUGAAAAAUGAAAUCAUUAAAAAAAAAGUUUUAGUUUCAUGAAAUAAAUUUAUCAAAUAAAAAUAGUAAAAUAAUGAAAUUCAUGAUUUUUUUUAAUUUUUUUUUUAUUACAUUUUAUUUUAUUGCAGCUAGCUGCAACAUGGGCCAAGGCAUUGUUUCUUUCUUUUUUUUAGUUACUAAAAUAACUUAAACUAAAACUAGAAUUAAAUUAAUAUUACAAAAUUACUAAAAAAUGCUAAGACUUUAACUAAAAUGAAAAUUAAAAUGAAAAUAAAAAGCUAAUUCAAAAUAUUAAUUAUUAUUAAAACUAUAAUGGUAAAGCAAUAAUAGUAAAAUAACACAGAUUCAAAUUCAUUAUUCUUAUUUCACUAAAACUAUGCAUAAAUGUAUAUUAGCAUUAUUCCUGUAAGUCAUUAUUCUUUCUAUUUUGCUAAAUUUGUUUAUUAGUAUAAUUUCUGUCAGUCUGAUAAAUGAGAAAAAUAUCAAUAAACAAUUAGUUGGAUUGUUAAAAAGUUGAAAAGAACAGUGUUUUAAUAGUUUUUACAGUUUUUCAUUACUGGUUGUUUUUGUAAAUAUCAGUUUUGCCUGAUUAUGAUAAUUCAUUUUUCAGCUUUUUGCAUUUUUAUUUCCCAGCCAUACUCUUUGCAUUCAGCAUCACUCUGUCAUAGGAAAGGUUGCACAUUCUCCUUAACGCACAGGUGAAUUGGGUGCACUGCUUCAAUCAAGGCUUCACUAUUGGGUUUGAGAGUCAUCUUAGCCCAGACAACAAAAGCAAACGCUACAGUGAGUGUCUCUACUAAUAUUCUGAAUAUUGAGAGAGGUGCACUCCUCCCACGGGACCGCCUAGGCGCCUCUCUCCUCCCUCGUUCCGCCAAAGAGGGGGAAAAAGAUUGCCCCUGAUCUUCCAUGUUCAUCAAUAUUCACUCAUUCAUCGUGAGCCAUGGCAGCUGAAAUUUGGCCUACUAUUGCUGAAUGGAUGACCCAGGGAUCCACUGUGUUGUCAUGAGGUUGUCUGCAAUUGAGAUUUAGGGUUAAAACAGAACAAUACACAAUUUUUAUGAAAUUCAGACUCAUCUACAUAUUUUAUGUUGUGACAGAAAACUUUUCAAUUUGCUCUGCAAGUUCUUAAGAUUACCCAGCCAUUUAAUAAGCCUAGAAUAGAU
ensembl:lncRNA